rnacentral:misc_RNA from 1 species
AAUCACCUGCAACAUUUUUGCGCCGACGAAUCGAAAUCUAAUUUAUAAAUCUACGCCGAGCAUGUUGGACUAGAAAUAUCGUAACAUUCACGAUACUAUGAUCUACGUUACUAUGCUGUCACGUAAAAAUGACCAUUCAUUAUGAAAUCGUCGAGUCAUUCGAAUAAGCCAAGUGAUUUCAAUCCGCGAUAUAGGCUGUUUGAUUCGUUGAGCCAGCUGCAAAUAAUACACACUCGCCGCGGUUUUAUUUCACUGACGUUUCAGAACGCUACCAUAAUAUCCACUCAUGGCAUACAAAGAACGCUGUGAAAUCACCGAUGACAUCGCUCGACGAAAAUGUAAAUCGCAUAUUGCGGAGAAGCAGAGCAGCUGAAAAAGAACAUCCGAAUGAUCGAGAAAGAAUAGAGAGAAUAGAGAGGCUCUCGAUGGAUGACGACGAGAGCAAAAUUGGACGGGAAGUGGGCAGGCCCGUCCAGGUGGUUCUUGCCCACCCCGAUCACACUUUUGAAUUGGAUGAGAAUGCCCUCGAAGAAAUUCUCCUACAGGACGAUAUCAAGGACCGCAGUGUCGUAGUGGUUUCUGUUGCCGGAGCUUUCCGGAAGGGCAAGAGCUUCCUUCUUGAUUUUUUCCUUCGUUACAUGAAUACCAGGUAUAAUUUGAAAACCGAAACGGAUGCAUGGCUAGGUUCGGACGAGGACCCCUUAGAUGGGUUUUCUUGGAGGGGUGGAUCAGAGAGAGACACAACUGGAAUUUUGAUGUGGUCUCAAGUGUUCAAAGGGUUGCUACCAAGUGGCGAAAAAGUCGCCAUUAUACUGAUGGACACACAGGGAGCAUUUGACAGUCAGUCAACUGUGAGGGACUGUGCGACAGUAUUUGCAUUGAGCACAAUGUUAUCCUCUGUGCAAAUAUACAAUCUUUCACAAAAUAUCCAAGAAGAUGACCUCCAGCAUUUACAACUCUUCACCGAGUAUGGAAGGCUCGCGUUAGAGAGAUCAGGAAGUACUCCAUUCCAAAGACUACAGUUCCUGGUUAGGGACUGGAGCUUUCCGUAUGAGGCAGAAUAUGGUGCUGACGGAGGAAAGAAAAUUCUACUACGAAGGCUAGAAAUCUCACAAAUGCAACAUUCGGAACUACAGAGUUUAAGAAAACACAUCAAGUCCUGUUUCUCAGACAUAUCAUGCUUCCUCAUGCCACAUCCGGGUCUCAAAGUUGCCACCAACCCAAAUUUUGAUGGUCGAUUAUCCGAAAUUGAAUCUGAAUUUAAAGUUCAAUUACGAACUCUCGUGCCCAUGUUACUUGCGCCCGAAAAUUUAGUGACUAAAAAAAUUGAUGGCCAAGUAGUGAAAGCUAGAGAUCUUUUGGAAUACUUCAAGAGUUACAUCAAAAUAUACAAAGGAGACGAACUCCCCGAACCAAAAAGCAUGCUUGUGGCAACAGCUGAGGCAAAUAACUUGUCGGCAGUAGCCGAAGCCAAAGAUCUCUACUCGCAAAUGAUGGAGUCCGUGUGUGGAGGCACAAAACCCUUCCUGGCAACCGCUCAUUUAGAGUCAGAGCACCAUCGCUGCGUAGACAAAGCUCUCCACCAGUUCCAGAAUAAGCGAAAAAUGGGAGGUGACGAAUUCAGCCAAACCUACAUGGAAAAGUUACAAAAAGACAUGGACGAAUCAUUUCAACAAUUUAAGGCGCACAAUGAGAGUAAAAAUAUAUUCAAGGCUGCGCGAACUCCAGCAGUAUUUUUCGCCAUUGCCGUUACUAUGUACAUUCUAUCAGGCAUAUUUGGUUUAGUUGGUCUUUACACCUUAGCAAACAUUUGUAACCUCGUGAUGGGAAUCGGUUUACUCACCCUUGUGCUGUGGGCUUACAUUAGGUAUAGUGGAGAACUACGAGAACUUGGAACACAGAUAGAUGAAUUAGCCAGUGCUAUUUGGGAAAAUGCCUGGCAUUGUGCGCAUCUCAUACAAAAGUUGAGAUAUAUGAUCCUUUCCGUAUCUUUUAUACUUAUAUGUUCCAUUCCUUCAUUUGGUCUGAUUUGUGCAUACUUUUGCGACCAUCGCAAAGUCUGAUCCCACGCUCCCAUUCGCACUUUUUUAUCGUUUAUAUCAAUUUCAGAUUGAGUUUUUACGAUGAAUCAAACACUCUCGAACUAGUCACUUAUUUUUUUACACACAAGCGUAUUCUGUCAGAUUAUUCCUAUUUAUAUUCUCACCUGCCUGUUGCUAGUUUUGUUAAUGAUUUAUCGUUUUGAAAAUUAAUCCCGUCGCUAACAUGCACGCCUCCUUGAAAAAGGAUCAAGGAUUAGAAAAGUUCAUGAAACCGCUUUAUCAACAAUUCGUGGAGAAAUCUGUAUCUGUAGCCGUGGCUCAGGCAGCAGAGAUGGCAACGAAUUCUACGUUAAG